rnacentral:rRNA from 1 species
UACGUAGGGUGCAAGCGUUGUCCGGAAUUAUUGGGCGUAAAGAGCUCGUAGGCGGUUCGUCGCGUCGGCUGUGAAAUCCCGGAGCUCAACUCCGGGUCUGCAGUCGAUACGGGCGGACUCGAGUUCGGCAGGGGAGACUGGAAUUCCUGGUGUAGCGGUGAAAUGCGCAGAUAUCAGAAGGAACACCGGUGGCGAAGGCGGGUCUCUGGGCCGAUACUGACGCUGAGGAGCGAAAGCGUGGGGAGCGAACAGG